GUAUGGCCCCUUAUAACACUCCAUAAGGCCUAUCUAAUCACACCCUCCAUAAAGCCUAAAGACUAUUAUCCCUAGACUCAAAGCUCACCACUGCACUCGGGGAUGAAUGGCUCUGCACUGAGGAAGGUAGGGAAGUAUGGCCCCUAAUAACACUCCAUAAAGCCUAUCUAAUCACGCCCUCCAUAAAGCCUAAAGACUAUUAUCCCUAGACUCAAAGCUCACCACUGCACUGGGGGAUGGAUGGCUCUGCACUGAGGAAGGUAGGGAAAUAUGGCCCCUUAUAACACUCCAUAAGGCCUAUCUAAUCACACCCUCAAUAAAGCCUAAAGACUAUUAUCCCUAGACUCAAAGCUCACCACUGCACUGGGGG